UACGUAGGUGGCAAGCGUUGUCCGGAUUUACUGGGCGUAAAGAGCGCGCAGGCGGUCGUUCAAGUCGCGUGUGAAAGCCCCCGGCUCAACUGGGGAGGGUCACGCGAUACUGAUCGACUCGAAGGCAGGAGAGGGAAGUGGAAUUCCCGGUGUAGUGGUGAAAUGCGUAGAUAUCGGGAGGAACACCAGUGGCGAAGGCGACUUCCUGGCCUGUUCUUGACGCUGAGGCGCGAAAGCGUGGGGAGCAAACAGGG
rnacentral:rRNA from 1 species